rnacentral:miRNA from 1 species
UGUGUGUGUGUAUAUAUAUGUGUGUAUGUAUAUAUAUAUAUAUAUAUAUAUAUAUACACACACACACC